UGGGGAAUAUUGGACAAUGGGCGCAAGCCUGAUCCAGCCAUGCCGCGUGAGUGAUGAAGGCCCUAGGGUUGUAAAGCUCUGUCAGAUUGGGAAGAAAACUUCGGGGUUAAUACCCCCGAAGCUUGACGGUACCAUCAGAGGAAGCACCGGCUAACUCCGUGCCAGCAGCCGCGGUAAUACGGAGGGUGCAAGCAUUGUUCGGAUUCACUGGGUAUAAAGGGUGCGUAGGCGGCGCGAUAAGUCAGGGGUGAAAUAUGUCGGCUCAACCGACAAACUGCCUCUGAAACUGCCGCGCUUGAGGUCGGGAGAGGAAGGUGGAAUUCCAGGUGUAGCGGUGAAAUGCGUAAAUAUCUGGAGGAACACCAAUGGCGAAGGCAGCCUUCUGGCCCGAUUCUGACGCUGAGGCAGGAAGGCGAGUGGAGCAAACG
rnacentral:rRNA from 1 species